rnacentral:rRNA from 1 species
GAUGAACGCUGGCGGCGUGCUUAACACAUGCAAGUCGAACGGAAAGGCCAGUGCUUGCACUGGUACUCGAGUGGCGAACGGGUGAGUAACACGUGGGUGAUCUGCCCUGCACUUCGGGAUAAGCCUGGGAAACUGGGUCUAAUACCGGAUAGGACAAUGGUUUGGAUGCCGUUGUGGAAAGUUUUUUCGGUGUGGGAUGAGCUCGCGGCCUAUCAGCUUGUUGGUGGGGUAAUGGCCUACCAAGGCGUCGACGGGUAGCCGGCCUGAGAGGGUGUACGGCCACAUUGGGACUGAGAUACGGCCCAGACUCCUACGGGAGGCAGCAGUGGGGAAUAUUGCGCAAUGGGCGCAAGCCUGAUGCAGCGACGCCGCGUGGGGGAUGACGGCCUUCGGGUUGUAAACUCCUUUCGCUAGGGACGAAGCGUAUUUGUGACGGUACCUGGAGAAGAAGCACCGGCUAACUACGUG